GCUGAGGUGGUGGAAACGGCAGACACACAGGUUUCAGAGACCUGUUGCUUACAAAAAGCAGUAUGGGUUCAAAUCCCAUCCUCAGCA
rnacentral:tRNA from 1 species